GACGAACGCUGGCGGCGUGCUUAACACAUGCAAGUCGAGCGGUAAGGCCCUUUCGGGGGUACACGAGCGGCGAACGGGUGAGUAACACGUGGGUGACCUGCCCUCAGCUCUGGGAUAAGCCUGGGAAACCGGGUCUAAUACCGGAUAUGACUCCAUGACGCAUGUUGUGGGGUGGAAAGCCUUGUGCGGCUGAGGAUGGGCCCGCGGCCUAUCAGCUUGUUGGUGGGGUGAUGGCCUACCAAGGCGACGACGGGUAGCCGGCCUGAGAGGGCGACCGGCCACACUGGGACUGAGACACGGCCCAGCCUCCUACGGGAGGCAGCAGUGGGGAAUCUUGCGCAAUGGGCGAAAGCCUGACGCAGCGACGCCGCGUGAGGGAUGACGGCC
rnacentral:rRNA from 1 species